ACGAACGCUGGCGGCGUGCUUCACACAUGCAAGUCGAACGGAAAGGCCCUGCUUUUGUGGGGUGCUCGAGUGGCGAACGGGUGAGUAACACGUGAGUAACCUGCCCUUGACUUUGGGAUAACUUCAGGAAACUGGGGCUAAUACCGGAUAGGAGCUCCUGCUGCAUGGUGGGGGUUGGAAAGUUUCGGCUGUUGGGGAUGGACUCGCGGCUUAUCAGCUUGUUGGUGGGGUAGUGGCUUACCAAGGCUUUGACGGGUAGCCGGCCUGAGAGGGUGACCGGCCACAUUGGGACUGAGAUACGGCCCAGACUCCUACGGGAGGCAGCAGUGGGGAAUAUUGCACAAUGGGCGGAAGCCUGAUGCAGCAACGCCGCGUGCGGGAUGACGGCCUUCGGGUUGUAAACCGCUUUCGCCUGUGACGAAGCGUGAGUGACGGUAAUGGGUAAAGAAGCACCGGCUAACUACGUG
rnacentral:rRNA from 1 species